AAUGAACGUUGGCGGCGUGGAUUAGGCAUGCAAGUCGUGCGCGAAACGUAGCAAUACGUGGAGAGCGGCGAAAGGGAGAGUACAACACGGUUAGCUACCCUCGGGACUGGGAUAGCGGCGGGAAACUGCCGGUAAUACCAGAUGACGUCUUCGGACCAAACGUGUAAACCGGCCCGAGGAGGCGACCGUGUCCUAUCAGCUUGUUGGCGGGGUAAC
rnacentral:rRNA from 1 species